GCGUGAAACGAGAACGAAACACGAUGGCAAUAACGCGCGGCGUAAUUGGCGUGAAGCGCAUCUGCUCUCGCGAAUACGUGUGUAUGCUCGUGAUGCGGAAUAUUAAUGAGUGGGAUGGACGGGCGCGGAUCCAUCGGUCGUUCGUGCGCGAAUUAUAAUGCGACGAUGCGGGCACGGUGUUUGCGUGUAUUUCACCGAGUGAAUAGCAAGCAGCCAGAUUGUGAAAAGUUCAAGCGACGUUUCGGCCUCCGCAACGAUUUUGACUGGGUUGCGUAACCGUUCGCGGAAAAUUCAGACAUCGUUCAACGACGAGAAAUUGCUUGCAGAGCGAGAAGUGUCCCCGAUUAGAGGAAAAAUGUUCUAUUUGCAAUUUUCUUACGAAGAAAACCCGGGAGUUGGCGCGACUUUUAAGAAGGACUUUGGAACGAUCAAAUAAACACUUAAUCAAUUGAAGAUAAUGCAACGAAACGAUACAUAAUAUUGCUGAUUACAUCGAUCUCGCACAAAUGAAUUUAUUACGCAAUCUAAUACGAAAUAACGAGAACUUGUCUCAUCGAUCCAUUUCACAAGCUCGCCAUUCCGAUUCCAUCGAGAUCGACUGAUAAUUCCGCGACCAAGCAAUACUCGAUCCAUUGUUUGCGUACACUUUUCCGAUCAAAUAGCGCAUCGCCACCUGCGAUUCGCGCAAACAAGAUCAAUGCCCAAAAACAUUAGCAAACGGUCCGUAGGGCUAAUAAGCGAUGGAACAUCAGUAUCAGCGUGACGCUAUUUACUGCAACAACGAUAUUAAACGAUAUUCACGUAUCUGUGGACUUAGCACGACAUUAUUGAUAGCGACCAACGCUGGCAAACAAUGCAGGUAUUAACGUAUAACUCGGAGAACGUUAUUAAUACUCCAUCAAGUUUGCGAAUACAGACCUAUUUACUUUUAGGUGCGAAGUUUAUUUUAUUCUAAUUGGGUGGAAAUUCAUUUAGGAUUGAAUUUUAGAACAGAAAUAUUUGUUAAGAAAAAGGAAAAGAUAUUUGUAUAAGAAACAUAUACGUACGAAAAUGUCGUAGAGGAUUUUCAAAAUAGGGGAUCUUGAUUUAUAAUAUAAAUUAAAGGAUUUAUACUUGUAAAAUGAAGAAAGUUAUAGAUUAAGGAAUCUUUUAUUUUUUUAUCGUCGAAUUAUUUUCUCUAAUUCUUUAGACUUUAUCAUUCAAGCCUGAAGCAACGUUAUGGAAUGAAAAAUAUAACAAAUAUUCGAAAAAGGUAUUUCUAUAUCGAUUUAGAAAGUAGAUAGAGAAAGAUGAGGUAAAAUAUUUGCAUAUUACGCGGUAGAUGAUAAUUUCUGAAAAGUGUUAAGAGUAAUCAGAAACAUAUAAAAAAGCAAUAAAGUAUUGAAAUAAUUAUUUCUAAAAAUUCCACUAAUCUAACUGAUAACAAUAUGCACUUGUACAAAUAUUCACGGUAUAAUCAUAUUAUUUUGAAGAAAUAAAUAUUGGAGGAUGACAGUUCUCCCGUAACGACGAGAAAAUCGUGGAUUUACGAAUCGACAGAUUGAAGGGUCGAAUUAAGGUAAAAUCAUCCGCUAAUGAAAAUGUCGACAUCGCAUUCCGACGGUGAUGUCGUGGGACUCCGCUUUCGUUGACACUGAUCGAGGCGAAUCUAGUGAAAAGGUCAAAUUAUUUUACGAGUUGUCGCCAUACCGGGCUCGACCAGCACCAUGGCUAUUAUGCAGACUGCAAUUUCACCUCCAGCGUGCUCUGAAAAACGCCGAAUUGUAAAUCUCGAUCGUGCCCGGCUCGUAAUAACUUUAUCGCGUUGCAACACUGGAUUCGCCAGGUGAAUCGCUUUCCAGUGACGAAAUUUUUAGUGACAUAGGGCUGUUUGUAAUCAGACACUUGGCGAUGCCGGUUAAUCGCUUUAUCGUUGCUUCAUGGUUUAUGCUGUAAAGGGAUAUAUAGGUUGAACCGUGACGUGUAUGCGGUAUGAUUUUUAACGUCGUGAGUUUUCCACACGGAUUCAUUUCUACGUUCAUUUGGCAUUUAAAUCGGAGUACAAAAGGAUUCUAUGACAGUUUAAGCGUUUAUAUGCGAUCAGUUUGAGCGUUUAUAACGCGAUUGUUAAUAAUAGGCACGAUUAAAUACAUUUACUUUCCUCCAAUUCCUGGGAUUUCAAACAAAAUGAAAGCCUUGAACUUUGUAUCCUUGUGUCACUCCGCGAACUUUAAACUUUCUAUUUCAUGAAAAUAUAUUCGCAUACCUGAAGCAAAUUACAAAUUCCUAUAUGGUGGAUAAAUUCUGAAAGCAUCAAGGAAUCUGGACGAACCUAGCCGAUCUUAAAAGUGUCGACUUAAUUACGAUCAGAAUUAACAUCAACCACAGAAUACUAUUUUAAAAAAAAUCAACAAAUUAAUAAUUCCACUUCCUCCUAUCUUGUUCCGUCCAUAUUACGAAUCAUAGUAAUUCAAUUUAAGAAAUGACGCGAAUAGAACGCAAUUUCUUCGAGCUACAAACGUGUAUGUUCGUGGUUGAAAAAAGAUCGAGAUACGAGUCAAUGGGGACUAGUCAGUUACAAAUAGCUCUAUUGACGGCGUUGUUAAUGACUGAUAACAGUGAUUUGCCGUCGUCGUUUCCCGUUUGUUCGUCGAACGUCACGACCUACCGAUAGAAGCGUUCGGCGAACGAUCCGGAUGAACUCGGUUGGCCAUUUAAUCCCGUUGCUCAGUUGCGUUCCCUGCUUCGUUCUUCAUGGCGAAUUAUCAAUGUCACGUAGUGCUUCCUCAGCAAAUCCAUUUACCACGCAUUGCUUGUUACAUGACGUUCUUCGUUCGUCAACCCCUCGCCUUCCUACCCUAAAGAAUUUGCAAGAUAAAUGGUCGGUUCGCUUCCGGAUUCCUUGGACCACCCGUGUAGGAAAGCGAUGAACAUGAUCUUUAUUCAAAGUACUCCUUUUAUGAAAGAAGCCAGCUGCUCCUAGUUGUUUUGUUUAAAUAAAAAGCGAUACAAAAUGCAGAGCAACGAGGACGAGAGAUGCGAGAGUAAUAGAAAAUGGAUGUUCUACAGUAGCUUUUGGAAAAGAAAAAUUAUUAUAAGAUGCUGUGAACAAGGUUUCAAAGAAUUUCAGAUAUUGAGUUAUUUGUUCGAGAUUUAAUAGAAAAUUGACUGGAUACGAAAAAUUGUUGAACUUAAUUGAUACCAAAAUAUACAUAAGUUGCUCUAAUAAUUUUCACCUCGUUAAUACUACACAUUCCUUCAAUCAUUACAAUCCUUGGAUUUUCAUAUUUCAAUCUUUCUCUCAUUUUAACAAACAAAAGGUAUCUGUAAUGUUUCGAGAAUAUGUUUGAUAUAAAAUCGAUAUCAGGAGAGCCAAGUAUACCAAUAACAAUAUUAUCAUGUUUCGUUUGAACUGCGAAAAUAUUUGUCAAUGUUUGAAAAAUAUUCUUCGGUCUUGAAUAAACCGAAAGGCUGUAACAGGAUUAAUAUUUGAAUAUUGUAAGCAUAAAGAAUUAAAAAUUUCGAAAAUGCCAAAAAAAGAACACAAAGAAAAAGAUGAACGAACAAGUCAAGUUAGAAGAUUUCUGCUUUGGGCAAAGUACUAAAGAGUGUCAUCGAGAACGAUGGUUGGAAAGUAGAUGCGAAAGAUGGAUGAGAUUUCACGAAGCGGCGAGAUAUUGCGACAAGUGAGUCGGUCCAAUAGUUCAACGGCUUUCGCGAAAUCAACUCGCUCUCGCCAACGUUACCACACCCGCCGCAUUAUCGCCGCUGCUGUGAACAACAAUCAUUGCAGUUGUCAACGGCCGUCGUCGUUGGCUCUCUCGUCGGGCUUCUCUCUGCAUCGACGAUGACAACACCUCGUCGCGAGUCGACACGCGGGUUUUAUCCAUUCCGCGGCGUGCACCGUUACAAAACGCUCUCGCGUCCCAAAGAAUCCGUUUGUAAUCGCGGCGAAAGUCGACUCUGUAAUUCCUUCGCGGCAAAUGUAACGUUGUCGGUCGCAUGAGAAAACGAUGAUACGACCAUUUCUGGCUGGAAUGGCAGAGGUUCCUUUUUCGCUGAGAUUUUUUCCAUCGUCUUCAGAAUCAAUUAAAAGGAAAACGACCGUAUUUUGUGGCAGGUAUUAGAUAAAUAAGAAAAAAAAGGGUAUUUAAGAUUUAAGACUCAACUUUCAAAUAUGAAAUAAUGAAGAAAAUAGUGAAGAAUUCAUAAUUAUUAUACUAUUGUUGGAGAUAAUUUACUUUCUCAUUCCCGAUGAGACGUACGUGUACAGUGGAGUGGAAAGAUUUUUCGAUCAGAAUAAAUUGUUAACUUUAUAUUCGUGAAGCAGCAUGUAAAGGAAUUUUAAAUAAUAUAAGUUUCAAAGGUACGAUAAAUAAAAGCGAAUAGUAUAAUACACAAAUACUGUUACAUGUAUAAUUGUAUAAUAUUAUUUAAAAUUCUUUUCUGCUUUCGUAAUAUAAAGUGAAAGAUCCACCUGGUUAGAAGCUUUCUCGCAUCAUCCUGUAUGAAGAUCACAGGAAAAGGUUAAAAUUUCAUCCAAAAGUUUCCCUAUAAGAAUAAUUACGUUUUUCGCUUUCUAUAGACGAGCAGUUUUUAAAUCAAACACUUCGACAACCGCUCUUGAACUGUUAUGAGUAAUUCUGUCAAACGUGCUAUACGUAUGCUCCUUUUGCAAAGAGUUUGAAACCUUUUUCAAACAAAGUCACGUUUAAACGAAAAAGGAGCACAAAGUAAUUUUUACGGAAUUCUAAAGCAUGCGCUACCUCAUCACCUUGAAAACUUUUAAUUAACACAAGAGCAGCAAGACCAUGGGGACAAAAAGAAAAAGUUCAUCGUGGCUAGAGUCAAUCUGUGAGGAAAAGUAAAAAACUGUAACUGGAACGGUGGAUUCAAUCAGCCAUUUUUUCGCACAACGAAAACGAGCUUCGUUUAAUCCCGGUGGACCAGUUUUCUGCAGAGACAAUUAACGUAACCUCGCCGCCGGAAAUUGAAAGCGACGAACACGGAAGCGAACUCGCAAGGCGAGGUUGUUGCAAGGUUUCGUUAUGUGGCUUACCGCGGCUAUCAGUAAUUCGGCUAGUUUCUGUAUUUUAUUUUUCAUCGUGAGUUUCGUCGUGUAGUCACGCGAAACGUCACGGUAAUUAAAAGUGCCACGAAAAUAGUCGAGAGGCAUACAAAUUUUUGCUGGUACAGGCGAGAAUAAAAAGCUACUUGCAAAAGUAAGGAUCAUAGAUAAUACCUGAACUCAUUAAUAUUGUCAGCGAAAGUUCACAAGUCACAAGUUAUCAAUUCCAAUAAAUUCUCUUACGAUGCAGUAACAAAUUUAACACUGGAACUAGUCUGUCUGCAAUAUGUAUUUAAAUAUUCGAUACAUAAAUCGUUAUGAUUAUGUUUCUAUCGAAAAUCGAUAUUGGUUUUAGCAAAGUUUUAGAAAAAUAUCUGUGUUUUCAGUAAUUCUAAGAGAAGAAAAUCUGACAUCGGUU